rnacentral:rRNA from 1 species
CAAGUCGACGGAAUCCAUGGUGUAGCAAUACACCGGAAGAUUUAGUGGCGAACGGGUGAGGAUCACGUGAGAAACGUGCCCCAGACUCUGGGAUAACAAUUGGAAACGAUUGCUAAUACCGGAUGACGUCGGAGAAUCGCAUGAUUCACUGACGAAAGAUAUUUCGGUUUGGGAGCGUCUCGCGGCCUAUCAGCUUGUUGGUGGGGUAAUGGCCUACCAAGGCAACGACGGGUAGCUGGUCUGAGAGGAUGAUCAGCCACACUGGGACUGAGACACGGCCCAGACUCCUACGGGAGGCAGCAGUGGGGAAUCUUGCGCAAUGGGCGAAAGCCUGACGCAGCAACGCCGCGUGCGGGAUGAAGGCCUUCGGGCUGUAAACCGCUUUCAGCAGGAACGAAAAUGACGGUACCUGCAGAAGAAGGAGCGGCCAACUACGUGCCAGCAGCCGCGGUGACACGUAGGCUCCAAGCGUUGUCCGGAUUUAUUGGGCGUAAAGAGCUCGUAGGCGGUUGAGUAAGUCGGGUGUGAAAACUCUGGGCUUAACCCGGAGACGCCAUCCGAUACUGCUCUGACUAGAGUUCAGGAGGGGAGUGGGGAAUUCCUAGUGUAGCGGUGAAAUGCGCAGAUAUUAGGAGGAACACCGGUGGCGAAGGCGCCACUCUGGACUGAAACUGACGCUGAGGAGCGAAAGCAUGGGUAGCAAACAGGAUUAGAUACCCUGGUAGUCCAUGCCGUAAACGGUGGGCACUAGGUGUGGGUUCCAACUAACGGGAUCCGCGCCGUCGCUAACGCAUUAAGUGCCCCGCCUGGGGAGUACGGUCGCAAGACUAAAACUCAAAGGAAUUGACGG